CCUACGGGCGGCAGCAGUGAGGAAUAUUGGUCAAUGGGCGCGAGCCUGAACCAGCCAAGUAGCGUGAAGGAUGACUGCCCUACGGGUUGUAAACUUCUUUUAUAAGGGAAUAAGGUGAGGCACGUGUGCCUCUUUGUAUGUACUUUAUGAAUAAGGAUCGGCUAACUCCGUGCCAGCAGCCGCGGUAAUACGGAGGAUCCGAGCGGUAUCUGGAUUUAUUGGGUUUAAAGGGAGCGUAGAUGGGUUGUUAAGUCAGGUGUGAAAGUUUGCGGCUCAACCGGAGAAUUGCAAUUGAUACUGGCAACCUUGAGUACAGUUGAGGUAGGCGGAAUUCGUGGUGUAGCGGUGAAAUGCUUAGAUAUCACGAAGAACUCCGAUUGCGAAGGCAGCUUACUAAACUGCCACUGACAUUGAUGCUCGAAAGUGUGGGUAUCAAACAGGAUUAGAUACCCCUGUAGUC
rnacentral:rRNA from 1 species